AUUGAACGCUGGCGGCAUGCCUUAUGCAUGCAAGUCGAACGGCAGCGGGGGAGAAGCUUGCUUUUCCUGCCGGCGAGUGGCGAACGGGUGAGUAAUACAUCGGAACGUGCCCUGUAGUGGGGGAUAACUAGUCGAAAGAUUAGCUAAUACCGCAUACGACCUGAGGGUGAAAGUGGGGGACCGCAAGGCCUCAUGCUAUAGGAGCGGCCGAUGUCUGAUUAGCUAGUUGGUGGGGUAAAGGCCUACCAAGGCGACGAUCAGUAGCGGGUCUGAGAGGACGAUCAGCCACACUGGGACUGAGACACGGCCCAGACUCCUACGGGAGGCAGCAGUGGGGAAUUUUGGACAAUGGGCGAAAGCCUGAUCCAGCAAUGCCGCGUGUGUGAAGAAGGCCUUCGGGUUGUAAAGCACUUUUGUCCGGAAAGAAAUGGCUCUGGUUAAUACCUGGGGUCGAUGACGGUACCGGAAGAAUAAGGACCGGCUAACUACGUGCCAGCAGCCGCCGUAA
rnacentral:rRNA from 1 species